GGAGGCGCUCAAAGGUUCCCUCAGAAUGGUUGGAAAUCAUUCAUAGAGUGUAAAGGCAUAAGGGAGCUUGACUGCGAGACCUACAAGUCGAGCAGGGUCGAAAGACGGACUUAGUGAUCCGGUGGUUCCGCAUGGAAGGGCCAUCGCUCAACGGAUAAAAGCUACCCCGGGGAUAACAGGCUUAUCUCCCCCAAGAGUUCACAUCGACGGGGAGGUUUGGCACCUCGAUGUCGGCUCAUCGCAUCCUGGGGCUGUAGUCGGUCCCAAGGGUUGGGCUGUUCGCCCAUUAAAGCGGUACGCGAGCUGGGUUCAGAACGUCGUGAGACAGUUCGGUCCCUAUCCGUCGUGGGCGUAGGAAAUUUGAGAGGAGCUGUCCUUAGUACGAGAGGACCGGGAUGGACAUACCUCUGGUGUACCAGUUGUCGUGCCAACGGCAUAGCUGGGUAGCUAUGUAUGGACGGGAUAAGUGCUGAAAGCAUCUAAGCAUGAAGCCCCCCUCAAGAUGAGAUUUCCCAACUUCGGUUAUAAGAUCCCUCGAAGAUGACGAGGUUAAUAGGUUCGAGGUGGAAGCGUGGUGACACGUGGAGCUGACGAAUACUAAUCGAUCGAAGACUUAAUCAAUUUUUAAA
rnacentral:rRNA from 1 species